rnacentral:RNase_P_RNA from 1 species
CAGGCCUGGCGGCCGCGAGUCGGUUUGACCGGCUCGAGGAAAGUCCGGACACCACAGAGCAGAGUGCUGGUUAACCGCCAGCGAGGGAAACCUCAGGGAAAGUGCCACAGAAACGACACAGCCUCGGAGCUUCGGCUUCGCGGUAACGGUGAAAAGGUGCGGUAAGAGCGCACCAGCGGGCCUGGUGACAGCCCGGCUGGGUAAACCCCACUUGGUGCAAGACCAAAUCGGAGCGUUACAGGUUGCUCGCCUAGCUCCAGGUAGGCCGCUCGAGGGCCUCGGCAACGGGGCUCCUAGAUAGAUGGUCGCCCACGACAGAAUCCGGCUUAUGGCCUGCUAA